GACGAAGGUGGCGAGCGUUGUUCGGAAUCACUGGGCAUAAAGCGCACGUAGGCGGCGGCGUAAGUUGGAUGUGAAAUCCCCCGGCCCAACCGGGGAACUGCGUCCAGUACUGCGUUGCUUGAGGAUCCAAGGGGUGCAUGGAAUUCCCGGUGGAGCGGUGAAAUGCGUUGAUAUCGGGAGGAACUCCGGCGGCGAAAGCGGUGCACUGGUGGAUUACUGACGCUGAGGUGCGAAAGCCAGGGGAGCAAACGGGAUUAAGAAACCCGGAGU
rnacentral:rRNA from 1 species